rnacentral:rRNA from 1 species
UCGGGAAUUUUGGGCAAUGGGGGAAACCCUGACCCAGCAACGCCGCGUGAAGGAUGAAGUAUUUCGGUAUGUAAACUUCGAAAGAAUAGGAAGAAUAAAUGACGGUACUAUUUAUAAGGUCCGGCUAACUACGUGCCAGCAGCCGCGGUAAUACGUAGGGACCAAGCGUUGUUCGGAUUUACUGGGCGUAAAGGGCGCGUAGGCGGCAAUUCAAGUCAUCUGUGAAAUCUCCGGGCUUAACUCGGAACGGUCAGAUGAUACUGCUUUGCUAGAGUGCAGAAGGGGCAAUCGGAAUUCUUGGUGUAGCGGUGAAAUGCGUAGAUAUCAAGAGGAACACCUGAGGUGAAGACGGGUUGCUGGGCUGACACUGACGCUGAGGCGCGAAAGCGUGGGGAGCAAACAGGAUUAGAUACCCCUGUAGUCCCUGAGCGGGCUGGCAAGGCGCAU